rnacentral:rRNA from 1 species
ACGCGAAAAACCUUACCUACCCUUGACAUGCCACUAACGAAGUAGAGAUACAUCAGGUGCUCGUAAGAGAAAGUGGACACAGGUGCUGCAUGGCUGUCGUCAGCUCGUGUCGUGAGAUGUUGGGUUAAGUCCCGCAACGAGCGCAACCCUCGUCCUUAGUUGCCAGCAUUAAGUUGGGCACUCUAAGGAAACCGCCGGUGAUAAGCCGGAGGAAGGUGGGGAUGACGUCAAGUCCUCAUGGCCCUUACACGCUGGGCUACACACGUGCUACAAUGGCGGUGACAGUGGGCAGCCACCUCGCGAGAGGGAGCUAAUCCCAAAAAGCCGUCUCAGUUCGGAUUGUUCUCUGCAACUCGAGAGCAUGAAGGCGGAAUCGCUAGUAAUCGCGGAUCAGCAUGCCGCGGUGAAUACGUUCCCAGGCCUUGUACACACCGCCCGUCAAACCAUGGGAGUGGGUCUCACCAGAAGUAGUUAGCCUAACCGCAAGGAGGGCGAUUACCACGGUGGGAUUCAUGACUGGGGUUAAGUCGUAACAAGGUAGCCGUACCGGAAG